rnacentral:rRNA from 1 species
UACGGGAGGCAGCAGUGGGGAAUAUUGGACAAUGGGCGCAAGCCUGAUCCAGCAACGCCGCGUGAAUGAUGAAGGCCUUAGGGUUGUAAAAUUCUUUCGCUAGGGAAGAUAAUGACUGUACCUAGUAAAGAAGCCCCGGCUAACUCCGUGCCAGCAGCCGCGGUAAUACGGAGGGGGCUAGCGUUGUUCGGAAUUACUGGGUGUAAAGGGUUCGUAGGUGGACCUACAAGUCAGGUAUGAAAGACCGGAGCUCAACUCCGAGUUUGUGCUUGAAACUGUAGGCCUAGAAUCAGGGAGAGGUAAGCGGAAUUCUUAGUGUAGGGGUGCAAUCCGUAGAUACUAAGAAGAACACCAAAAGCGAAGGCAGCUUACUGGAACUGUAUUGACACUGAGGAACGAAAGCGUGGGGAGCGAAGAGGAUUAGAUACCCUCGUAGUCCACGCCCUAAACGAUGAUAACUAAGUGUUGGGAAUUGUCCCAGUGCUGUAGCUAACGCGUUAAGUUAUCCACCUGAGGAGUACGGUCGCAAGAUUA